rnacentral:misc_RNA from 1 species
GUUCAAGUGGUUGAGUUUUUGUGUGUUUCAUUGAGUUUGGUUGGGUACGAUAGAGGAGAAACAGAGCUUCUCUCCUACCUCACUAGUCGCGCGAGUCUUACGAGAAGACUACCACUAGUUCUGCGCUGCAGAGAGCGUUGCUAACUCCUUGCGAAGUUACCCACUCCAGCUCGAGCCGAAACUCUCGCUCGUUGUCACUCGACUAUCGUCGAUGUCAACAGGUAAUGAUCCUUCCGCAGGUUCACCUACGGAAA